AGAGUUUGAUCCUGGCUCAGGACGAACGCUGGCGGCGUGCUUAACACAUGCAAGUCGAACGGUAAGGCCUCUUCGGAGGUACACGAGUGGCGAACGGGUGAGUAACACGUGAGCAACCUGCCCUUGACUCUGGAAUAACAGCUGGAAACAGCUGCUAAUACCGGAUAUGACCUCUUGCGACAUCGCACGGAGGUGGAAAGCUCCGGCGGUCAAGGAUGGGCUCGCGGCCUAUCAGCUAGUUGGUGGGGUAACGGCCUACCAAGGCUUCGACGGGUAGCCGGCCUGAGAGGGCGACCGGCCACACUGGGACUGAGACACGGCCCAGACUCCUACGGGAGGCAGCAGUGGGGAAUAUUGCGCAAUGGGCGGAAGCCUGACGCAGCGACGCCGCGUGGGGGAUGACGGCCUUCGGGUUGUAAACCUCUUUCAGCAGGGACGAAGCGAAAGUGACGGUACCUGCAGAAGAAGCACCGGCCAACUACGUGCCAGCCGCCGCGGUAAUAC
rnacentral:rRNA from 1 species